CCCUUAGAUGUUCUGGGCCGCACGCGCGCUACACUGAUUCAUGCAACAAGUUUUGUCCUUGGCUGAUAGGCCUGGGUAAUCUUUGAACGUGAAUCGUGAUGGGGAUAGAUGAUUGCAAUUAUUCAUCUUCAACAAGGAAUUCCUAGUAAACGCAAGUCAUCAGCUUGCAUUGAUUACGUCCCUGCCCUUUGUACACACCGCCCGUCGCACCUACCGAUUGAAUGGUCCGGUGAAAUCUUCGGAUCUGAGAGAUGUCUGAUUAAUUUCGGACGCCUUUUGGAAAAGUUGCUUAAACCUUACCAUUUAGAGGAAGGUGAAGUCGUAACA
rnacentral:rRNA from 1 species